GUAAGUGUUGAAUAGAGAACUAUUUGAUAUGCUAUGACUUGACAAGAUAUAUGACAUUAUAUAAAGCAAUGUAAUGUAUUACUGGCACAUCUAUAAUGUGAGACAAUCCUUGAUGCUAUUCUUAACAUUUUAAGAUUCCUCAGUCCUUGACUGGAACCUUUUAAAAGCAAUCCAGCCACAGCCAGUAGGAAUGGAGGUGGUGAGGAAUGGGAGUGGGGGUGGGAGUGGACAGGACUCUGUUCAUCCUCCUGGGUCCUCCUCAGCACUCACAGCCUGCUCUCUCAUUCUGCCUUGAUGACACUCAGCACUAACUGGUCAUGCCCUCUGCCUGUUUGUCUCAGUCACCAGCAGAAGCUCAGGACUCCCAAAUUGCCUGCCAUCACCAGGAUUCCUCCCUUCCCCAUAGGUCUGCACAAUCCCCAAUGGGACUCCAUCUUCCAUCCUUCUCCAGCACCCUAAACUCCCCACAAGCCCUCAAGACUCAAGGCUGCACAUCGAAAAAAUGUGCUGUAUCAACCAACUCUUCUCACAAAGCCACCUCCACCUUCUUGUCCUAAGUGAAACCUGAGUUCCGCGUAGUCCUCUCAUGGUCUGGCCAUUUUCUUCUUGCCCAUGCCUUUGUACUCAUUGGGCCAAGGAAUGGGCUAGGCAUCCAUUACACCAACCACUGCUUCUCUUCAUUGCAAAUCCCCAGGCACCGUGUGUCUCAAGAUUGUGGCUAAGAGCCAUAGCCCUGGAGGAUGUACAGAAGCAUUGCUGUGGCUUAUGACCCAUGGCCACUGUUGGGUCAGGAAGGACAUUGCUUUAAGAGCAGGCCCUACACCUAUGCCAUUUGGCUGGUUGAAUAGAUGAGGGAAAAAUCUGAAAAGGGUAGAUAGCAACACCAAGGCCAGAAGUCUCCUGGGUAUUGUGCUGAUUGGACCACGUACAAGUUCCUCCCUCAUCCUGGCUUCUGUGUGAAGACAUGGAGCAAAAGACUCAGUUGAGUGAAUAUGCUCAAGCAGAGUAUUUCUCAUGGCUUCUGAAACUGAGAUCUGAGAGGUACAAGCACUGCUGUACCAUCUCCUUCCUGAGCAUGAGAUUCUCCCAAAUAAGGAGGAUCUAGGCAGCAAAAUGUCCUCAAUAAACAGAAAGAAAACUCUGUGAUGGUGUCACCUGCGGCAGCAGCCGUGGAACAGGGUCACUUACAUUUUGGAAACUCCCUCUACUCUACCCUUCUGACUCGCUGCUCUUCACAGCCUUCUCAAAUAGCUCAGACUCUAGAUCUACCUUGGUAGGAAUUUCCACCUGGCUGGCACCUUGUGGGAGUCUGCUUAAAUAAUUCAGAUUAAUGUGAGCUUUUCAGAGCUGAGGAUGGAGUAUCGACAAACAUAUAGGGCACCAG
rnacentral:lncRNA from 1 species